GGAAUGGCCAAAUAUCAAGUUGAAGUUCAAAGUCUGAAACUGGAUGGUGAUUCAGUUAUAGAAGGAGUAAGUGACCAAGUUCUUGUGGCAGUUGUGGUCAGUUUCGCUUUGAUUGCUACUCUGGUAUAUGCACUUUUCAGAAAUGUACAUCAAAAUAUUCAUCCAGAAAACCAAGAGCUAGUAAGGGUACUUCGAGAACAACUUCAAACAGAACAGGAUGCACCUGCCAUUGCUCGACAGCAGUUCUAUACUGACAUGUACUGUCCAAUCUGUUUACAUCAAGCCUCCUUCCCUGUGGAAACGAACUGUGGACAUCUUUUCUGUGGUGCCUGCAUUAUUGCAUAUUGGCGCUACGGAUCAUGGCUUGGGGCAAUCAGUUGUCCAAUCUGUAGACAAACGGUAACUUUACUCCUAACAGUAUUUGGUGAAGAUGAUCAGUCUCAGGAUGUUGUAAGAUUGCAUCAAGAAAUUAAUGAUUAUAACCGGAGAUUCUCAGGGCAGCCCAGAUCUAUUAUGGAAAGAAUUAUGGAUCUACCCACUUUACUGAGGCAUGCAUUCAGGGAAAUGUUUUCAGUUGGGGGCCUUUUCUGGAUGUUCCGCAUUAGGAUAAUACUUUGUUUAAUGGGAGCUUUUUUCUAUCUUAUAUCACCUCUAGAUUUUGUACCUGAAGCCUUGUUUGGAAUUCUAGGUUUUCUAGAUGAUUUCUUUGUCAUCUUUUUGUUGCUUAUCUACAUCUCUAUUAUGUAUCGAGAAGUGAUAACCCAAAGGCUAACCAGAUGAAAAAAAUAAAUUUACUAGAAUAUCUGAGCUAGUAUAUAAAAUCAAACAGGACCCAUGGUGGUAUAAAACAUCUGAAUAUUAUCUUACAAGCUUAAAACUACUAUAUGACAAACAUUUGAUUAUAUGCUAGCAAUAUACAAGCUAUAACUGGAAUUUUACAUGUUGCAACUUCUAAAAUUAUAAUGAUCUACAGUUUUCUUGAUUCUGUGUUGUCUAUAAAGUCUCUGGAAAAAAUAUGGAAUUAUAUAAAAAGGGAUGUUUUUAUAUCUUUUUCUUUUCCCCCAAAUUACUUAGAUUAAUUGGAUAUAUAGUCAGGUAUUGUUAAAUGUACAAUUUAUUAGCCUGCUCAAUGGGUAUCUAUAUGAUAAUAUUUAGCUAUGAAACUCAUCUAAAUAUUUUUGUUACAAUAAAAUAUUAUACAGUAUUGGGGAAAAGUCAGUGUUUCUUUUAACACUAUCUAAAUUGUGUGUAUUUGGAGCAGUUCUGCUUUUUUCACUCUGAUAUAAUUCUUUGUUAUCAGCUGAAACUGAAAGAAGAAACUUGAAUUUUAUCAUUUGAUUCCAUCUUCUGGUUUACAUAACACUUUUUAAUCAGUAGAAGAAUUAGCAGGAUGAGAAACACUUACCUCCCAUCAGCACACUUGAUGUUCACAGUUAUGACAUUUAAACAGGAGGGCUGGCUAGUUAGCUGCAAGAGUUUGAUCCUUUUAUAAGAACUGAUAUAAAAGUAACUUGUAAAGGGGAAUUUUUUUAGGAUUGGCACAUUUCUGGAGAAAGCAGAUCUUCAUGUCUAUAUGCAUCAAAGCCCUUAGGAAGGUACUAGGAACAUUAUUUAAAUUUGACAAGAGAAAUUACUGGUUAGCUCCAACAACGGAAUGGACACAUUUGGCCAGUUUUCCAUUGUCAGAAAACUUUUAGAAGACUGUGUCAAGAUGGUAGCAGAUCCAUCCUGUCUUGUACAGAAUGAGUGAAUGUGUCUGAGGCGACUGGACAGGGAAGUUACUGUGUUUUUUUCUGAUGGCUUUGGCACAAGUAUCUGAUGCUCUCUUCUGCAGUGUUCUGUUUGAGAAGAAUCAAUACCACAAGCAUGAGGAGAUCCAUACUCACUUCAGCUGGCACAGCUUUAGUGAACUAGGACAGUGGGUGUCAGUCAGUGCCUGGGAGGUAGUGUUAGCUUUGUCACCCAUGACCAGUGAUAGCAUCCAUUAAUGCAUUAGUGAGCCUCACUAUGUGCAGGGAUGUACUGAGAAGAUCUGUCACAUUCUCCCAAGUUAAUCAGAUUAGCUGUCGACUAAUGAGAUCCUGAAUGAAAUAUCAAUUUGUGUUUUCUAAUUUGGACCUAGGAAAAGCUGUUGCCUGUCAUAGAGAAAAGCAAUAAUGCUUAAACAUAGCACAUUAUAAUUAAAGCAAUUUUUCAUAUACUUUUCAUUUUAUCCUUAGGAUAAUUUUGUGAGGAAGGCAGAGCAUCACCUUCCUUUUCACAGAAAAAAUCCCCAUGCUAUCAGUUUUUUUGUUUUUGGUUUUUGCCUGAAGUCACUUAAUAUGUAAGUGAUUAUAUGGUAUAAACUCUUAGUAGGAAUCUUGCAUAGGAUGUUGAGAUAGACAUGAAGAUUAUUAUGAAGAGGAGAAGCAGGAGAGAAACUGGGAUCCUUUGGAAGUUUUUCAUAAUACAUUAUUUCUUCAUUGGAGUAAGACAGUUUAAGUGCUCCUAAAAGGAAGGGUCUAGAAAAGAUGACACAUGAAGACUUCAUGAGUCCUAAUUCUACACUUCCAAAUGUAGUGUAAUAGGGUGGCAUACGUCAUAGAAAAACAUCUCAGCUGGUCACCAACUUGAAAAGCUGAGUAGGAGUUUGUUAUACCUCCAGACUGGAAAUGCAUUUACUACCAGUUAUAAAGUUGGUAUAGGGCUAUAGCAAUGUUUUUUGAAAGGAUUUUAUUUUCUGUGCAUGUGUUCUGCGACAAAUGUCACAUUUCUAGUUACAACAAUUUUACUACUAAGACUUUCUUGGUAGAGAUGUUUUGUACCAAAGUUUGUUACAUAUAAAAACACUAUGAUCUGAAAUCUUAUUAAAUUGAAAAGAGAACAUGCUGACAUCUCAGAGUUUUAGAUCCACUCGUUAGGUCAAUCUUUACAGAUCAGUGAUAGUAGAUGCAGAAGGGAUCAAACAGUAUUUAAAACAAGUAGAGUCAAUCAGUGUUUUAAACAUCAUUUACAGUAAUACUUCUGUGGUUCAGAGUUAGAGCAUAUAAAUCAAAGCAACAAUCUGGAUUUUUUAAAACAACGAUAUUGUAACUCAUAAAAACAGAUGGCCCGGCCCCAGGAGCAGAUAAUAAUUUGGGCAGCUCUGUGUGGACCAAAACAGAGGAAACAACUGUUCUAACUGCCCACUAGGACAGUGAUUUCAACUACUACAAUUCUCAGCAUUCAAGAACAGGGAAGAAAGGACUUGUGCUGAUCCCUUGUGGCUGUGCAGAUACCUACCUCACAGAGUUGUAAAGGAUUGAUGGUUUAGUUCAAUAUUUGUGAUUUAGGAGUUUGUCGAGCAUUUUAUUCUUCUGAAUAAAAGCAAUAUAUCUAAAACAA